rnacentral:rRNA from 1 species
GAUGAACGCUGGCGGCGUGCCUAAUACAUGCAAGUCGAGCGAAAAGACGCUGAGCUUGCUCCUCUGACGUUAGCGGAGGACGGGUGAGUAACACGUGUAUAACCUCCCUGUAAGACUGGUAUAACUUCGGAAAACCGGCGCUAAUAGCGUAUGAUAUAUUGAAGCGUGUGGGGGAAUAGUGAAAUACGGUUGUGCGGUCAGUUAUAGAGGGAUCUGCGCCGCAUUGGCUAGUAGUGAAGGUAACGGGCUACCAAGGCUACGAUGCGUAGCCCAACUGAUAGGGGGAUAGGCGACAUGAGAAGGGAGCCACGGUCAAGGGUCCUACGGGACGCAGCAGUAGGGAACGUGCCGCAGUAGUGGAGAACUUGACGCAGCAACGCCGCGUGUGUGAUGAAGGUCUUCGGAUCGUGAAAAUCUGUUAUGAGUGAAGAACCAAUGUGUAAGUAAAUAUGCACGUAUUGACGGUACCGAAUCAGAAAGCCACGGCUAACUACGUG